rnacentral:rRNA from 1 species
GACGAACGCUGGCGGCGUGCUUAACACAUGCAAGUCGAACGGAAAGGCCCUGCUUUUGUGGGGUGCUCGAGUGGCGAACGGGUGAGUAACACGUGAGUAACCUGCCCUUGACUUUGGGAUAACUUCAGGAAACUGGGGCUAAUACCGGAUAGGAGCUCCUGCUGCAUGGUGGGGGUUGGAAAGUUUCGGCGGUUGGGGAUGGACUCGCGGCUUAUCAGCUUGUUGGUGGGGUAGUGGCUUACCAAGGCUUUGACGGGUAGCCGGCCUGAGAGGGUGACCGGCCACAUUGGGACUGAGAUACGGCCCAGACUCCUACGGGAGGCAGCAGUGGGGAAUAUUGCACAAUGGGCGGAAGCCUGAUGCAGCAGCGCCGCGUGCGGGAUGACGGCCUUCGGGUUGUAAACCGAUUUCGCCUGUGACGAAGCGUGAGUGACGGUAAUGGGUAAAGAAGCACCGGCUAACUACGUG